AAAGUAGUUAGAAAGUAGAAACAGUCAGAAAGGACGAUGUCACAGGAGUCUCAUUGAACCAAGAAAGGAUGGCAUUUCUAUUGAUGUACGUAAAAGAUUGGUUUCAUUAAAUUGGCGCUUUCAUUAGAAAUACCUUACCACGUUUAAAACGUUACUGAUAUUAAUGAGUUUCUAAGAUUCCGUUUAUGACUUCUCAAACGUGUAAUUUUUGACCAUAACAUGUGCUUAAAUGCUAAUGGUGCACUCCUAGUUAAGGACCUUCUUAAUGAUUGAUUUUAUAGAAGUGGUCAAAUUUUACAUCGAACUUGUUAAAAGUUAUAGGUGUGCAGUCAGGUGCCCGCUUUGAACACAUUCGGCUCUAUUUUAACUGGCUAUCUGCAAGGUUGAUAUCCCCGGAGGAAAGUGGCUUCACCUGGUGCUAGCAGCUCCUUUUCUACGGUUCAAGAUAAAAAAAAAGCUGCUGUGGCGCCUACAAUAAGAACAACCACUGGCACUAAACUGUUAAAAAAUGCAGGCACAAAUAUUUGUUUCUGGGUUUGUUUGGUUGCUUGUUUGCAAAACUAAUGAAAUUUUUGCCAUAUUCGCCAGUGCGGUGCCUGACCCCAAAAGCAUAAAAACAUAAAAUCUGACCGCAAAAAAUUAAAAGGAGACCGCAAAAAAAUCGACGCCACCUUGAAAGCGGCUGCGGGUAAGGUAAAGAAAUCCGAGGCAAAGAUGGCCACCGGAGACAGAAGGGCCGGGAAUCAGAAGGCAAGUGCCAAAGACAAAGCAAGUGAACGAAGUCAGAGCGCUCCAGCUCCAGAUUAUUAUGUCAAGUCACGUUUAUGAGCGUAAUUUCGACAAGACCCCUUCCAAUCCCGACCCGCUCCGCCAGACGCAGCCACAAUCGCCCCCAGCUGCACGGAGCAUCGGGCAUGCCCACAUCCCCAUUCCCAUCCCCAUCCAAAUUCGCAUCCCCAUCCGGAGGACGCUUGUUAAGCGGCGAACGCGACAUUGCAGCAGUUAAGACACCGCCCGCCGGCAUUCAAUAAGCCGUUAAAAACUCACUAGGAUGGAAGACCCACAAAAACAGAUAUAUUUUGAAGUCUGCUCCAGCCACUUUAGUGCCAUACGAAUGUCUGUAAGUCUUAUGGCCGUGCUUUAAAAAUUAUUCGAAAUUUUCAAAUUAGCUUUUAUUCUUUUUCCUUAAUCAAAGUGUGAUUAUCAACUGUGUAAUUAAAAUACGGCAAUGAAAUUUAGGGAUUGGAAUAAAACUUAUAUUCGGGAAAGACGUCAGAAAUCUUUAACGCAUUGAACAACUAGAUUAAUUAGUAAUUUUUUUCCACGAAAAACCCACAUUUUCUCUUAGCUUUAUUAAUAAACAAUUUUAUGUAUAAGUAUUGAUAAUGAUGAUUAGAUCACCGCCGGAAUGAUAUUAGAAUUUGACAGCAAAUCUAGCUAUUUACUAGCAUAAAUGAUUUAUUUAGCCACAAUAAAGUGCGAUACCGUAUAAUAAGGCCAUUUGAUAUAAUUAGUAAUAUUUAUGAUUAUUAUCAUAAUUAGUUUUUGAUUAUGACUCAGUAAU
ensembl:ncRNA lncRNA:CR44777 long non-coding RNA:CR44777